rnacentral:rRNA from 1 species
GGAAUCGCUAGUAAUCGCAGAUCAGCAUGCUGCGGUGAAUACGUUCCCGGGUCUUGUACACACCGCCCGUCACACCAUGGGAGCCGGGAAUGCCCGAAGUCAGCGGCCCAACCGAAAGGAGGGAGCUGCCGAAGGCAGGCCUGGUGACUGGGGUGAAGUCGUAACAAGGUAUC